GUUGGAGUGUGCAAACAGUACACCUUUUUUCCGAAUAUAAAGAUGGAAAUGGAGCGACAUAAAGUGAAGAAAUGAAAGAGAGGGGUCGCAAGUUUUAUUAUAAUAAUUGUUUUGUAUACUUUAUUUUUCGUGAAUCUUAUUCAACUCUGGUUUUUAUUUUCCGUUUGGCCGAAAGGAAACCCCGUGUGGUCGUCGAAUGAAGAGGAAGAGAAAUUGAUUUGGUCUCAGACAUACUUAAAAAUACAUUUUGAAGAAAAUC